AUAGACUACUAGGGGUGCCCAUGGCGUGGGCUGAGAGGAAGCAGUUGAGCUUCUGACUCUUACAGACCUGAUCUGGUUAAUACCAGCGGAGGGAAGUAGUAGGCAUAGCGU
rfam:Virgibacillus massiliensis genome assembly, contig: 000002